CGAGCUGACAAGGUAAAAAGCUGUCGCUCUUCCCCUGAACAAGGCAGUUAACCCACUGUUCUUAGGCCGUCAUUUUAAAUAAGAAUUUGUUCUUAACUGACUUGCCUAGUUAAAUAAAAAGGUCAACAGUAUCAUGAACUUUCAGCAAGACAAGUACACAUCAAAAUUCACAAAAAUUGUUAAUUUACAAAAUCAACAUUUUGCAAUGGCAAUCUGUCUCAGAACUUCUAUCCAAUUGAAAACCUGUGGUUUGUUUGAAUUGAAGAGGAACGUCCAUAAACACAAAGGAUUCUGUAUAGAGGAAUGGUCUAUCAUCCCUUUGAACGUGUUCUCCGACUCAUGAAACAUUUUGGGGAUUUUUAUUUCUCUAAACAUUUAUAUUAGUAUAAAAUGUAAAUUCCCAUUUUUUUUUUUGUAGCAUAAAAUAUUGCUCAGUAUUUUAAUUGAUUUACUACAUUUUUGCUAAUCUUUAUAAAGGGUGUACAUUGGGGUAAAAUACUCUAUAACCUGACCCACAGUUCAGUCCAUUUACUUAAUAUGGGCAAGCAGGAGCUGCAGGGGUGAUUUAGACUCUGCUAAACAUAGGUCUACCUGUGGGCAAUGACACUUCACACAUACAAAGUUAAACGUUCUGGCCAUGCUGAAAUCCUUAUACAUAGGUCUACCUGUGGGCAAUGACACUUCACACAUACAAAGUUAAAUGUUCUGGCCAUGCUGAAAUCCUUAUGUGGUGAGUGAUGAAGAAUUCACAGUUUAAUAAAUAGACUUGUGGUUAAGGUUAUGGGUUAGAAAAAUACACAACACACAAAAAGGGAAGUGUUUUGUUUCUGACUGAUGAACCCAAUUGGCCACUGCUGCCUUACAUUAUUCUUUCAACAACCGCUCUAGCUAGAGAAGGGUGAUUUUGUCAGCGUCUAUGCACUAGCGUCUAUGCACUAUUGGGGCGGCAGGUAGCCAAGUGGUUAGAGCGUUAAUAAUGUACUGUGUUGUAAAAACAAAUGCAGUAAGCAACAUGUCAGGAUACUAGGCUCAUCCUACUGUGAUGACGCCUAAUGCGUCAUCUAAUGUGCAAUUGUGUUAUUUCCCACCAUACGUUCAUUUUGGUGAAGUGCGUCCCCCUCAGAUGAUUAUCAGCUUCUGUAAGACACGUGGAUCUCAAAAGACGACGACUCUUCCUCGUGUGCAGCGAAUUCAAAUUGAUUAAAAGAAGGAAUGAGUAUGAC